rnacentral:lncRNA from 1 species
AAACUUCCUUUAUGUGUCGGACUACAUCGAUUUCCCAAAUCCUUAACUCGUAAGCAUAAAUAGAUCAACAUAACCUGUAACGAAUCCACAUAGAUAUCUACGUCUAAUUCUGUAGUUUGCUUAUUACAUUUUAACAAAAGUAUACUUAAAACAAAGAAUAAAAGAAUUAUCCAGCUUCAAAAGAGAUGUUGAUUUGAUGAUAGAUGAAGUUUAUACUAGUCAAAGAUUCGAGUUUGCAAGGCGAAAAUGCUAUGGAAAAGUUGAUGGGAAUGUAUAUAAAACAGUUUUAAAAUUGAUGAUUUCUUUGUUAACAUCUCGAUACAAGGAUUUAGUUACCCUCAUCGAAAUUGAUAAGAGAUCAGCAUCUUAUCAAUAUGACAUCAUUAUUAAUACUUUAAAAAUGUUGGAUGAUUUAAGCUUCUAUGUCAUAAGCAUGUCAUUUGACAAUCAUCCAAUUAACAGAAAAAUGCUUGCUGAUUAUAUGUGUAAUGGAUGUCCUUCGACUUCAAUAUGGAAUCCAAUAAACUCCAACAAAACAAUAUAUCCUUGUUUUGAUAUGGUAUAUAAUUUUAAAAAUUGUGUGUAAAUACUCAACUCACUCAAAGAUUUAGGAAAUCGAUUAAGUCGGACACUCGAAGGAAGUUUCCUAUCGGCUCCAGUUUGACCCCCAACAUACGCACACUUUUUUACCAUAAUAUUUUAUUAUUACAAAAUUAAUAUCUAUUAAAUAAAUAUAAUAUCA